rnacentral:rRNA from 1 species
AUUGAACGCUGGCGGCAGGCCUAACACAUGCAAGUCGAACGGCAGCACAGAAGAGCUUGCUCUUCGGGUGGCGAGUGGCGGACGGGUGAGUAAUGUCUGGGAAACUGCCCGAUGGAGGGGGAUAACUACUGGAAACGGUAGCUAAUACCGCAUAACGUCGCGAGACCAAAGUGGGGGACCUUCGGGCCUCACACCAUCGGAUGUGCCCAGAUGGGAUUAGCUAGUAGGUGGGGUAACGGCUCACCUAGGCGACGAUCCCUAGCUGGUCUGAGGGGAUGACCAGCCACACUGGAACUGAGACACGGUCCAGACUCCUACGGGAGGCAGCAGUGGGGAAUAUUGCACAAUGGGCGCAAGCCUGAUGCAGCCAUGCCGCGUGUAUGAAGAAGGCCUUCGGGUUGUAAAGUACUUUCAGCGGGGAGGAAGGCGAUGUGGUUAAUAACCGCGUCGAUUGACGUUACCCGCAGAAGAAGCACCGGCUAACUCCGUG